CCUGGUGGCUCAGAGGUUAAAGCAGCUGCCUGCAGUGCGGGAGACCCAGGUUCGAUCCCUGGGUCAGGA
rnacentral:tRNA from 1 species